rnacentral:rRNA from 1 species
AUUGAACGCUGGCGGCAGGCUUAACACAUGCAAGUCGAGCGGAGCGAGGGUGCUUGCACCUUAGCUUAGCGGCGGACGGGUGAGUAAUGCUUAGGAAUCUGCCUAUUAGUGGGGGACAACAUUCCGAAAGGAAUGCUAAUACCGCAUACGCCCUACGGGGGAAAGCAGGGGAUCUUCGGACCUUGCGCUAAUAGAUGAGCCUAAGUCGGAUCAGCUAGUUGGUGGGGUAAAGGCCUACCAAGGCGACGAUCUGUAGCGGGUCUGAGAGGAUGAUCCGCCACACUGGGACUGAGACACGGCCCAGACUCCUACGGGAGGCAGCAGUGGGGAAUAUUGGACAAUGGGCGGAAGCCUGAUCCAGCCAUGCCGCGUGUGUGAAGAAGGCCUUUUGGUUGUAAAGCACUUUAAGCGAGGAGGAGGCUACUAGUACUAAUACAACUGGAUAGUGGACGUUACUCGCAGAAUAAGCACCGGCUAACUCUGUGCCAGCAGCCGCCGUAAUAC